GAAGUCACUUGUGUAGGAUAGGUGGGAGGCUAAGAAGCAGACACGCUAGUGACUGUGGAGCCGUCCUUGAAAUACCACCCUGGUGACUUUGAGGUUCUAACCCGGAUCCAUGAACUGGAUCGGGGACCGUGCAUGGUAGGCAGUUUGACUGGGGCGGUCUCCUCCCAAAGAGUAACGGAGGAGUUCGAAGGUUACCUAGGUCCGGUCGGAAAUCGGACUGAUAGUACAAUGGCACAAGGUAGCUUAACUGCGAGACCGACAAGUCGAGCAGGUGCGAAAGCAGGACAUAGUGAUCCGGUGGUUCUGAAUGGAAGGGCCAUCGCUCAACGGAUAAAAGGUACUCCGGGGAUAACAGGCUGAUUCCGCCCAAGAGUUCAUAUCGACGGCGGAGUUUGGCACCUCGAUGUCGGCUCAUCACAUCCUGGGGCUGUAGUCGGUCCCAAGGGUAUGGCUGUUCGCCAUUUAAAGUGGUACGUGAGCUGGGUUUAAAACGUCGUGAGACAGUUUGGUCCCUAUCUGCAGUGGGCGUUGGAAGUUUGACGGGGGCUGCUCCUAGUACGAGAGGACCGGAGUGGACGAACCUCUGGUGUACCGGUUGUGACGCCAGUCGCAUUGCCGGGUAGCUAAGUUCGGAAGAGAUAAACGCUGAAAGCAUCUAAGCGUGAAACUCGCCUGAAGAUGAGACUUCCCUAGGGAUUUAAUCCCUCUAAAGAGACGUUCGAGACCAGGACGUUGAUAGGUCGGGUGUGGAAGAGUGGUAACACUUGCAGCUAACCGAUACUAAUUGCUCGUGAGGCUUGACUCUAU
rnacentral:rRNA from 1 species